UGAAAUUCUAACUAUUUUUUCCACAAAAAAGAAGAAAUUGGACUAUUUUCAGAGCUCAUAGCCUGCUAUGCAUUUUAUUCUUGGAGACUAUGGAGUGUUUAUCAACUCAACUCAACUAACUGUUAUUCCCAAACUAUUUGAUUGGUUAUAGAAAAACUAGCUAUUUUAAUAAUUCCUUGUAUGGAUUGUUUUUGUGAUAAAGUUAUGUAAUUAUUCAAAACAACCUAAAAGUGGAUUGCUAAUGUAAUUUUCUAUUUGGUUAGCUUAUAUUAGCUUCCCUAUAUUGGCAGACUAGUACAGCUACCUAUCAUUUAAUAAGACAUAAUAUUUGGUGGGGGCCUUUGAUCCAUACUUAUUCUAAUUGAUAACCAUAAUUUUUAUUUUCAACUGAAAUGAAAGAAUCGAGCUUGCAUGCUACUGGGCUAGUAGUUGACCGGUGGGGAAUCCACCUUAUUGAAGGAAGUUAGGGGUUCAAACCUUAACAAUCCUCUCUCCUUUCCCUUUUUAGGUCCAAUAUAUCUUUCAGGGUAUAAACUUUGGGUGCUUUUGGUGGACAGGGAUGG
rnacentral:misc_RNA from 1 species